AUUUUUCCUUGUUGGCUAGUAGUUGGCAGGUAGAACAAACACGAUGAUCAUUAUUUAGUUUUGAACCUAAAGCAUGAUGAACUAUAGGUAAUGACGGAUGACCAGGACGUUGAUGCCAUAACCAACUAGAAGAAAAGGUAGACAGUAAUGCAUGAAGAUCUCCGGUAUGCUUGUCCCUCGGAUGAAAGCAAGUGAGUCUCUCUAAUUAGGCCCCGCAUCAGUUCCUAGUGUGUCCGACGGUCCUUAACAACAAAACAGUCAGGAUGAUGCUCAAGAAACAUGUAUUAUCUUGAGUAAAAAUUUGGAACUAGAAACCAAUUUUUUGGAAAUAUGUGGUGCAUAAAGGAUAUUAUUGAGAUGCAAGGGACUAACGGGUAAUUUUAUGCUAGAAGAACCAGAGGCAAGGACAGGUAAAGAUUUACCAUCACCCAAGAAAAUAUGAUCAGAGCUCAAAUAAUCAUCUAUGAUACUCAUAUUACUUAGAUCUGAAGUGACGUGAUGCGUCGCUCCUGAAUCCAUGUACAAGUCAGAAGUCGGUAGUCCUGUAGAAGAGACUUGAGUAAAAUGGGCAUGAGGAUCAGAGAUGCAAUAGGCCCGACAAUGAAGAGCAGUAUGGCUCGAGCGAUUGCAUAAUUGACAAACCACAAAGGAAGAAGGCCCAUAGAAACGAACUUGUCUAGUAGCUUCCACAGGUGAAAAUCCAGGAGGUAGGCCGUAAGCAAAUUGGGCUGAGCCCAACUGAUUUUCGAGCGGGUGAGAAACAAAGCCGGUUGGACUUGCGUGGGGGUCGGGUGAAUAACCCGACUGAUAUGACCCACAUGGAUCAUAAUGCUGACACGACGAGAAAGAGAGGCUUCGUUCUCCACCCGAGUUAAGGUUCGGGAUGCCAUAGAUGCCGACUCCUUCUCCUCCUUCGAAGCGUCCACCGAGUUUUCCUUUGCCUUUUCUGCUGCCUUUAUGCUUGCCCUUCCUAUUAGAGCUCCUCUAAUUGCGUCUAUUCAUGUAGUAGACUUCGGACAUAGUCGAUCAGAGAGGACUAGAGAAGGGCGUGAGCUGUGGCUGCUACUUGGCAGUCGCGACAACAUAGGAACGACGCAACUCAUGGCUGGGAAGAAGAGUGGUCAACUCUUCAGUAGUUGAGGCAAUGACGGAUUCUAGCCGGGUGAGGAUCGAGCGACUCCCACUCAAGUCGGAGACUGGAUUCAGAGUGGGGUUGCCAUCCGCACUAGCAAUGGUUUUACUUAUUGGGGGAACACGGCCCUCGACAUAGUUGAGCGAAUUGUAUGUGUCCAACAAUGGUUUCAUGAUACCUCGCCAGAAAGGGUAGUUCCGGCAAUUGAUUUUCACCGGAACGGUUGGCAAGGAAGAAGGAAGACCGUCUGCUGAAUUGGCCAUGAAGGUAGGGGGCUGGAGGUCAAAGAAAGAAAACAAAGGUGAAGGAGGAAAGCCGAGAAGAGACCCGAGCUUGUAGAUCGAGGUAGGAUCGGGAUAGAGGUUACGGGGUUACCCGAUUUCAAAGCUCUGAUUAACAAAUAUGAAAGGUUGAAUUCCUCACUUGGUUUGUGAGGUGAAUACUAUUUAAAUAUAUAAAAGCAUACAGUGUGCUAUAUAUUAAAA